CAGUAGCCGCGGGAAUACGAAGGGGGCUAGCGUUGCUCGGAAUCACUGGGCGUAAAGGGUGCGUAGGCGGGUCUUUAAGUCAGGGGUGAAAUCCUGGAGCUCAACUCCAGAACUGCCUUUGAUACUGAAGAUCUUGAGUUCGGGAGAGGUGAGUGGAACUGCGAGUGUAGAGGUGAAAUUCGUAGAUAUUCGCAAGAACACCAGUGGCGAAGGCGGCUCACUGGCCCGAUACUGACGCUGAGGCACGAAAGCGUGGGGAGCAAAUAGGAUUAGAUACCCGUGUAGUCCCUGUCUCUUAUAC
rnacentral:rRNA from 1 species